rnacentral:rRNA from 1 species
UAGCCUCCUACGGGUGGCAGCAGUGAGGAAUAUUGGUCAAUGGACGCAAGUCUGAACCAGCCACGUCGCGUGAAGGAAGACGGCCCUACGGGUUGUAAACUUCUUUUGUAAGGGAAUAAAGUGAGUCACGUGUGACUUUUUGCAUGUACCUUACGAAUAAGGAUCGGCUAACUCCGUGCCAGCAGCCGCGGUAAUACGGAGGAUCCGAGCGUUAUCCGGAUUUAUUGGGUUUAAAGGGUGCGCAGGCGGGAGAUUA